rnacentral:rRNA from 1 species
UACGUAGGGUGCAAGCGUUAUCCGGAAUCAUUGGGCGUAAAGAGCGUGUAGGCGGCUUGGUAAGUCCGCUGUGAAAGUCCAGGGCUCAACCCUGGAAUGCCGGUGGAAACUGCCAAGCUAGAGUCCGGAAGAGGCGAGUGGAAUUCCUGGUGUAGCGGUGAAAUGCGCAGAUAUCAGGAGGAACACCAAUGGCGAAGGCAGCUCGCUGGGACGGUACUGACGCUGAGACGCGAAAGCGUGGGGAGCAAACAGG